UACGAGGGGGGCAAAUGUUGUUCGGAAUCACUGGGCGUAAAGGGAGCGUAGGCGGGUUUCUAAGUAAGGUGUUUAAUCCCGGGGCCCAACCCCGGACAGGCAUUUUAAACUGGGAAUCUUGAAUAGUGGAGAGGUCAGUGGAAUUGGGGGUGUAGCGGUGGAAUGCGUAGAGAUCCCCAAGAACACCAGUUGCGAAGGCGGCUGACUGGACACAUAUUGACGCUGAGGCUCGAAAGCAUGGGGAGCAAACAGG
rnacentral:rRNA from 1 species